rnacentral:rRNA from 1 species
UGGGGAAUUUUGCACAAUGGGGGAAACCCUGAUGCAGCGACGCCGCGUGAUUUAGAAGGCCUUCGGGUUGUAAAAAUCUUUUGUAUAGGAAGAAAAUGACAGUACUAUACGAAUAAGGACCGGCUAAUUACGUGCCAGCAGCCGCGGUAAUACGUAAGGUCCGAGCGUUGUCCGGAAUCAUUGGGCGUAAAGGGUACGUAGGCGGGUAAGCAAGUUAGAAGUGAAAUCCUAUAGCUCAACUAUAGUAAGCUUUUAAAACUGCUCAUCUUGAGGUAUGGAAGGGAAAGUGGAAUUCCUAGUGUAGCGGUGAAAUGCGCAGAUAUUAGGAGGAAUACCGGUGGCGAAGGCGACUUUCUGGCCAUAAUCUGACGCUGAGGUACGAAAGCGUGGGUAGCAAACAGG